GUAAUAGGUGGAGUCACAAAAGGAGAGGCUGCAGGACCAGACCAGAGUCCCCUGUGCCCUAACGUCUCCUCUCCCCCUUUACCAGCUCUGGCCUUGCAGCCUGUUUCUUCAUCUGAAAAAAAGAAGGAAAAAUAAUACCAAACUCAGAAAGACUUCAUGAGGAUCGAGUCUGUUUGAAUUGCUUUUCAUUGCACCUUCUAAAUGUAAGUGCUCAGCAAAUGAUAGGUGUUUUUAAUAAUACAACUCUCAGUAACUUCAUUGGCGCUGCUAUCGAGACUAUCUGCAGUGAUGUGGAUAAUUUCCUCUGCAUCUACAGCCUUCAUCCACUUCAGAAACUCAUGAUGGGGAACUGCGACAUGAAGAAGUUAACUUACCUAAGAUCAGAGAAUGAGUCAAGGACAGAACAGGACCAUGUCAUCAAAUUUAGAGAAACUUGAACUAUGCAGAAAAGAGAUGGGAUUCUUCUGUGGCUGUGCUGCUCACUCAAGGGAGUCUGAACCAUUUUGACCAGGAAAAGCCAAAGGAAAGGCCACUGCCAAGGGCAGACCACACAUUGCCUGAAGUCAUUGUUCUCCAUUCCAGCCCCAAGAACUCUGCGAGAUCGAUGAAAGCAUACAUUGAGAAAUAAAAGUCAUGAGAAAAUUUUACAAAUUAGCUAGCUUUCAUUUCCUGUUGGCUUUUCCAGCACAUGCUUGGCACCAGAUGAGAGUAAUGUGGUAAUGCAGUAAAAUAUCCCUGUGAGACACUAUCUGCUUAGAGACAGGAGGCAGUGAGAUGCUUUAGCCCUUGAUGUCCUAAGGGCCUGUCUGGACAUCGUGAGGUUUUCUCAGAAGCCAAUGUAAUAGACUUUUUGUCAUAUCAAGUUUGUUUUUUAGGGAAUUUCAAGGCAUCAACAUUAUCUAUAUUUCCACUGCCGGCUCUGAUUUGGAAAUGCCAGUAAAGUUGGUGUGCUUUAUAUUUACUUGAUCUCUAAAAAAAUGUGUGAGCUCAAUCUUGUCUUGUCCUAACUGGCAUAAUUAUUCAUCACGGAUGCGUUUCGUGGGAUUAGAACCAGUAACAGGAAGUCACAGUGUGCCCUAUUUUAACAAAAACAAA
rnacentral:lncRNA from 1 species